ACUGAAGGAUGUCCCGCCCUGCGCUUAAAUUAGUGUGUUUCACCGGCCAAUAGGGAGACAGCUAGGGUCUGGCCCAAUCUUGGGUGUGUUCCUUCACGCUUUUUGGGCGCUUCGCAGGGUAGAGGUAGAGAGGGCAGAAAUCUGAAGAAAGCACCAGGAGAAAAGGAAUGAUCAGGAUGUUCGCGCUGAAGAAAGCACCAGGAGAAAGGGAAUGAUCAGGAUGUUCUCUCUGAAGAAAACCAUCGCGUAUUUUAUUUUAUUUAUAUAUUUUAUUUCUCAUGAUUAAGAAAAAAGCAGUCAUUACUAUUUUAAAAAAGAUGCAGUGUGUAACAUUUAGACAGAAUGGCAGAAAUGAAAUAUGUGUAUUACUGUGUUUUUAUCUGUGCAUAUCAACCUGAAAAUCAGAAUCAGGUUUUUAUCGCCUUAAGAUGAGGCAUUUAUCUACUGUAGGGGUCUUUAACCAGGGGUCUGCGGACCCUCUAGGGGUCGCAGAGGUACUGCAGGGAGUCCACCAAUUUUUGUCAUAACAAUUGACAAUUUUCACCAGAAUAAUGGUCCAAAAACGCAACAAUAACCAAUAAUAAUUAUGCAUGGACCUUUUAAUCAAUCAUGAUCAUAAAUCAGCUAAUUUACCUGGUAUAUGUUAAUAGAAAUGAAAAGAAAGUUGAAUUAGGUAUUAUAAACCAGCCUUAAAAUGUGACACAUUUUAAAAUAUUAAUUACAUCAGGAGUAUUCCAACCUUUUUCAGCCCAAGACAAGAGACUAACAGAGCAUGGACCUUUGUUCUGUUAGUCUCUUGUCCAAGGGUUGAAGACUUCUGAUCUACAGUAUAUCAAUGUGUAAAUAAGAAUUAUGUUUUUAUUGUCUUAUAAGCUGUCCACCAUGUUGAACUGCCAUGUUGUUUCUAUAGUAGCUAAGAACAGACGAGCUAAAAUCUGGCUUUAGAUAAGACCUUUUCUGUUUUUCCGCGUGUUUUACAGCCAGUAGUUUAGUGAGGUGAACAGUAUCCAGUUGGUUGUAACCUGCCACUAAAUCUUACACGCUGCACCUUUAAUGACUGCUUUUCGCUUAAUGUUUGUUGUUUUUCAUGAAUGAAUUUACCACCUGCAACAGUAAAAACUUUUUUCCUUUACCCCUAGAAAAGUGCUUAAGUUUGUUGAAGUCUGGCAAAGUGUGCAGCUGGGCAUGUAACCUCAGCUCGGCUCUGUCAGACACCUGUACCAACAAACAAAAAAAAGCCUUUAUCUAGGGUGGGGACAGCGCAGGGACAAGCGUCUACCUGACAGACAGGGCAUGAAGAUUCAGGUUGUGAACUCUCUUGCCCUCUCUGUCAGGAGUGACUACGACCCUGCGUUGCCGUGGGUUUACUCCGGGUCCUCUCCGGUUUCCUCCCACACACGAAAUACUUUCGGCCCAAUCUGACCCUGCUGCUACACAUCGGCACUUAGGCCUGAGGUGUAGAUAUUGUAUUUCAAUAAAUGAUAACGGUUAACUGUA